GUUGAGGCUCAGUGGUAGAGCACUUGCCUAGCAUGAAUGAGGGAAGUUCUGGGUUCAAUUCUCAGCACAGCA
rnacentral:tRNA from 1 species